GCACAAGUCUGGGCCGUGCCCUCGGGGUCAGGCCGGGCUGGUCUCCGGGAUUCUCCCGAGGGGAGGGGCUGCUCUCAUGACCUUUCCCAACAAAAGCACUUCCGGCGUGGUGGCGGAGCGUCUUCCUGGAGGAGGGGACACGCCUUGCUGUAAGAUUCCUGGCCUGGCGCUCCGGACACGGACACGGCGCGGGAAGAAAAGUUCCUAAGUUCAGCUAUUUCAAAGUGAGUUCUUUUGUGCACUCCGUAUGGAUAGGAAUCAACGUUGCCUUUUUUGACGGGGCCCCUGCUCUAACGGGACUUGCUUUCCGAAGAAAGCAAAUGUGGAUGAAAACCCUAAAGGUAAGAGCUAACAGUACAAACCCCUCAGAAUAAAAAAAAAAGCGGAAUCUUUACAACUUUGGGCGAGGCAAGCCAGUUUGCUAGGUACUACAAUGUCUUUUGUCUUUCAAUGACAAAAGAAAACAAGAUAAGUGAACGUCUUCAGAAAGGAAUGAGCAGGGCUUCCCUGCUGGCGCAGUGGUUGAGAGUCCGCCUGCCGAUGCAGGGAACACGGGUUCGUGCCCCGGUCCGGGAAGAUCCCACAUGCCGCGGAGCGGCUGGGCCCGUGAGCCAUGGCCGCUGAGCCUGCGCGUCCGGAGCCUGUGCUCUGCAACGGGAGAGGCCACAACAGUGAGAGGCCUGCGUACCGCAAAACAAACAAACAAAAACAAAACCAAAAGAAAACAAAGAUAAAGUUGCUAAUUUCCUGACACUUUCAGACCAGAGGAGGAUUUUAGAACCUAGAGCCACUAGCCAGAUGAAGGAGAUGGGUGUUUUCUUCCUGGAUGUUUGGACAUUUUAGACCGGUGCCCCCCCGGGGCCUUGAGGAAACAUUUCUGGACUGUGGGACAGCAUUUAACAUGACGACCCCAGCGAGGCCUCAUGUGUAAUUCACUGUAUGUCUAUUCGUCGUCAGUGACAAGAUAAGAAAACAAAACCUCUUUGGGGGGUCACAGGAACUCUUGUCAAACCUGCACCUUCAUCAGAGAGCUUGAACGACGUUCGUUACGGGGUACCAUCUGCUACAGGUUUUAGACGCACUUGAUGAACACGCUGAAUGUAUGAUGCGGCCCAGAGAGGGCAAGCAGGCUGCCCAAAGUCACACAGCCUUGACGGCAUAUCCCCUGUGCGCACUUGGGGACUGUUGCCUGGAGUUCCGAGUUGGCACUCAGCGAAACAAAGAAAGCAUUGCUCUCUGAGCAGGAAACCUUCCCACAAUGACUGGAGGGGAAGAACACAGUUUUAUCACUGAAGGAGCCCAGAACCAGGAAGGGACGCCCAUCACAGGCUGAGACCUGGCAGGGACCGGAAAAGUCCCACCUUCUCGCACAGCCCGGAG